GGCACCAGCUGCGGGGCAAGAUGGAGGCGCUGAUUUUGGAAACUUCCCUGUAUACUGUCAAAGCCAUCCUGAUUCUGGACAAUGAUGGAGAUCGACUUUUUGCCAAGUACUAUGACGACACCUACCCCAGUGUCAAGGAGCAAAAGGCCUUUGAGAAGAACAUUUUCAACAAGACUCAUCGGACUGACAGUGAAAUUGCCCUCUUGGAAGGCCUGACAGUGGUAUACAAAAGCAGUAUAGAUCUCUAUUUCUAUGUGAUUGGCAGCUCCUAUGAAAAUGAGGAAAAAUGUAGAAAAGCGAGCACUGCUGGAGAACAUGGAGGGGCUGUUCUUGGCUGUGGAUGAAAUUGUAGAUGGAGGGGUGAUCCUCGAGAGUGAUCCCCAGCAGGUGGUACAUCGGGUGGCGUUAAGGGGUGAAGAUGUCCCCCUUACGGAGCAGACCGUGUCUCAGGUGCUGCAGUCAGCCAAAGAACAGAUCAAGUGGUCACUCCUUCGGUGAAGACCCCACUGUUCCUGGCUCUUCAUCCUCUUCAAAAAAUUCGCCUGUCUGCUGUGAAUUUUCAUCUAGUUCCCCAGUUGAUGCUCUCAGGGUCAUCUCGGGGAUCACAGGGAUCCUUAAAUCUCCAUUCUGUUUGUGGUUGUCCCCCCAACCUCCCCUACACCCUUCCUAUUCUUUUUCAUUCUUCUUGCAGUUCUGGGAGUAAAGCUCCCAGCGUAUUUAGGUAAUAGGGCAGGAGAAGCACCCUCUUUCUUUCUAGACUGGAUUAUGCUCACAUGCUCCCCUGCCCUGACAUUUUUGUAAAUUCUGUGCCCUUUGUUGUAGCUAAACUUCAGAUUAAAGUAGGAGAAAGAAAAAAAAAAAAAAAAAA